rnacentral:piRNA from 1 species
CACGGCCGUUUAAGGUUUCCGCCCGU